GCCAGCAGCUAUAUCACCUUGCAACUCACAACUGGCAACCCACUGAAGCUAAUUGUGAUAGCAGGUAUGUGGCUGGUCAGUACCUGGAUGGGAGACCUCCUGGGAAAAACUAAGGUUGCUGCUGGAA
rnacentral:rRNA from 1 species